rnacentral:rRNA from 1 species
ACGAAGGGGGCUAGCGUUGCUCGGAAUCACUGGGCGUAAAGCGCAUGUAGGCGGAUCGUUAAGUCGGGGGUGAAAUCCUGGAGCUCAACUCCAGAACUGCCUUUGAUACUGGCGAUCUUGAGUCCGGGAGAGGUGAGUGGAACUCCGAGUGUAGAGGUGAAAUUCGUAGAUAUUCGGAAGAACACCAGUGGCGAAGGCGACUCGCUGGACAGACAUUGACGCUGAGGUGCGAAAGCGUGGGGAGCAAACAGGA